CCCUUAGAUGUUCUGGGCAGCACGCGCGCUACAAUGGUCUUCGCAAACGGAUGCAUUCUCGAAGGAGAAUGCCAAUCUUGGAAUCUAUGCCUUGGUCGGGACAGUUGCUUGCAAUUUUUCGACUCGAACCAGGAAUCCCUUGUAAUCGUGAUUCAUCACAUCACGAUGAAUACGUCCCUGCCCUUUGUACACACCGCCCGUCGCUCCUACCGAUCGAAGAGUUAGGUGAAUUGUUUUGAUCGAUAAGAUUUGACUAUGGUCAACUCUCGUUGUGAAAUUCUGUGAAUCUGACUGUUUAGAGGAAGGAAAAGUCGUAACA
rnacentral:rRNA from 1 species